CAACCCUCGGGACCCCGUUCGCGGGACCCGGCGUUGGGGAUCAGCUUCGCAACCCGGAGCUGGCCCUGAAAUCUAGUGGCGGUCCGCCAGCGAUCUCCUCUGUGCAGUAGUUAAUACCUCGCAGCUGGAUAGCGGUCGGACCACGCCGUAAAACCCCCCAAUUUCUCCAA
rnacentral:misc_RNA from 1 species